GUGGGGAAUCUUAGACAAUGGGGGCAACCCUGAUCUAGCCAUGCCGCGUGAGUGAUGAAGGCCUUAGGGUUGUAAAGCUCUUUCAGUGGGGAAGAUAAUGACGGUACCCACAGAAGAAGCCCCGGCUAACUCCGUGCCAGCAGCCGCGGUAAUACGGAGGGGACUAGCGUUGUUCGGAAUUACUGGGCGUAAAGCGCACGUAGGCGGAUCGGAAAGUUGGGGGUGAAAUCCCAGGGCUCAACCCUGGAACUGCCUUCAAAACUAUCGGUCUGGAGUCCGAGAGAGGUGAGUGGAAUUCCGAGUGUAGAGGUGAAAUUCGUAGAUAUUCGGAGGAACACCAGUGGCGAAGGCGGCUCACUGGCUCGGUACUGACGCUGAGGUGCGAAAGCGUGGGGAGCAAACAGGAUUAGAAACCCUGGUAGUCC
rnacentral:rRNA from 1 species